GAAGUUGAUCAAACAGUCGCUGUUGAUAAUACCAAUAGAGGAAAGUCCGGGCUCCAUAGGGUAAAGGUGCCAGGUAACACCUGGGAAGAAUAAUCUUACGACCAGUGCAACAGAAAAUAAACUGCCUUCUAUAAAAUUAUAUUUUAUAUAUUUUAAUAUAAAUAUUUUUAUAUAUAAAAAAAUUAAAACAGGUCAAGGUGAAAAGGUGCGGUAAGAGCGCACCGCAAAAUUGGAAACAAUUUUGGCAAUGCAAACUCCACCUGGAGCAAGGCUAAAUAGGGAAAACAUGCUACCCGCAUAUUCCCGGGUAAGCCGCUUGAAUUAAUAAGCAAUUAUUAAUCUAGAUAAAUGACUGUUAAUUACAGAACCCGGCUUAUCGAUCAACUUCAUAA
rnacentral:RNase_P_RNA from 2 species